rnacentral:lncRNA from 1 species
UCCUGGAGCUAGAGUUACAGGCAUCUGCAAACCGUCUGAUGUGAGUGUGGGAACCUGCACUCUAGUCGUGCAGGAUUCGCAAGGAUUCCUCCCUGCUGAGCUAUUUCUCCAACCCCGGGGUUACUAACCCUAUUUCUAGGAGCGCAAAGCAAAGGCUUUGAUGCUGGGCUCUGGUAGAAGGAGGUUGCUGUCAACUCUGCUGCAGGUUCAGAAGAGGCCCUGUCAACCCUGCAGAAAUAUGAGACUGGUACAGUUCCAGGCACCUCACCUGGAAGAGCCUCACGUGGGCCUAGAGUCAGGGAUUGGUGGGGGAGUUGUAGACCUAAACACCUUUGACCCAGCGCUCCCCAAGACAAUGGUGCAGUUCCUGGAGCGGGGAGAGACUGCCCUUUCGGUGGCAAGAAG